UACGUAGGGGGCUAGCGUUGCUCGGAAUCACUGGGCGUAAAGGGUGCGUAGGCGGGUCUUUAAGUCAGGGGUGAAAUCCUGGAGCUCAACUCCAGAACUGCCUUUGAUACUGAAGAUCUUGAGUCCGGGAGAGGUGAGUGGAACUGCGAGUGUAGAGGUGAAAUUCGUAGAUAUUCGCAAGAACACCAGUGGCGAAGGCGGCGCACUGGACCACAACUGACGCUGAGGCGCGAAAGCUAGGGGAGCAAACAGG
rnacentral:rRNA from 1 species